GCCGCCGCCGCCGCCGCCGCCGCCGCCGCCGCCGCCGCCGCCGCCCUGCUUAGCUCCUAUCCGGCCGCAGAUGGAAGCAGGAGAGGAUUCUUCUCAAGGUCCGUGAACCCAGAAUUCGGUUAAGUCUGUAAACCAACUAAAUUAACGUGCCAAGAAUUCGUGGAUGUUUGGAACUCAAAAUAAAAAUCAGGACGCAAGAUGGUCCCGGGAUAAAACGCUACUGACCAAACACUGGCAAGUUAAACUAGCUGUGGUGUUGAUACACUGAAUUAAAAUUCAAAUAAAACACGUGAAGACAGCAAAUCGUUUUAAAGUUACAAGCUAAAACUGUAAAAGGGACCAACAACUGUGUAGGCGGAGCAAAUGACAGACUGUAGUACAACCAGAAUGCUUAACACUCCAUGAAUGGAAUUGGAGAUUUCAAGACAGAUGUUUUUGAGGUAAAAUGUGGAUUUGGUGACCAACAGAAAACAGACUUAAGGGAGAGAAGGACUGAAGGAAGAUGAGGGAUUUCUGGCUUAAAAAAAUGGAUAAAUGCUGGAGUCAUUAAGUAAGAUCCAGCAUAUGUAAGAGAAAAUAAAUUAUAAAAUAAUCAUGAA